UACGUAGGUGGCAAGCGUUGUCCGGAAUUAUUGGGCGUAAAGCGCGCGCAGGCGGCCUUUUAAGUCUGAUGUGAAAGCCCACGGCUCAACCGUGGAAGGUCAUUGGAAACUGAAAGGCUUGAGUACAGAAGAGGAAAGCGGAAUUCCAUGUGUAGCGGUGAAAUGCGUAGAGAUGUGGAGGAACACCAGUGGCGAAGGCGGCUUUCUGGUCUGUAACUGACGCUGAGGCGCGAAAGCGUGGGGAGCAAACAGG
rnacentral:rRNA from 1 species